rnacentral:rRNA from 1 species
UACGGGGGGGGCAAGCGUUGUUCGGAAUUACUGGGCGUAAAGGGCUCGUAGGUGGCCAACUAAGUCAGACGUGAAAUCCCUCGGCUUAACCGAGGAACUGCGCCCAAUACUACCGUGCUUGAGGGAGAUAGAGGUGAGCGGAACUUAGGGUGGAGCGGUGAAAUGCGUUGAUAUCCUAAGGAACACCGGUGGCGAAAGCGGCUCACUGGAUCUCUCCUGACGCUGAGGCACGAAAGCUAGGGUAGCGAACGGG